UUAAGGGUUCAAGAGUAUCACAUGUUCUUGGGUUCUUAAGAUUAUACCAACCAAGGUCUAACUAUCUAUCCCUUUUGUUUAUUGUAAUCUUGUAACCAUUUCUGUAUCUUGUAAUCUUCAACUCGUGAGUUGUUGUCUCUUGUUGUUAUUGUUCUUAUCAUAUUGUUCUCAUAUUAUUGGUGUUUUUAUUGUUUUGGUGUUGAAAACACACCUUUCUAUCUCGUCAUUGUGUGUUGUAGUGAAUCCGAGAGUUGGUCUUCAAUAGGUCCUCGAAUCUUAUGAUUUGUGGACUGUUUGGAGUGUAAUUUUGUGUAUCCCUUGGUUUUCUUGUAUCAUUUGGUAUCAAAUCAUGGCUUGAUCUUGUUUCCACAAGAUCAAUAUUGGGCUUGUUAUUUGAAACAAAAAUUGUUAAAAAAAAGUUGAAAUCUGAAAAUUCCAGAAAAAUAGCAAUCUGUCCAUUUGUGUUCUUGGCCGAAAGUUGUGUUCUUGUUGUGUAUUGGCCAAUAUUUUUACUUGUCUUUUUUGUCUCUAAGUGUUAGUUUUGUUCCUUAUUAACACGUUGAGUCUAUAUCUUAGAUUUGAGCUUGAAAUAUUGAUGUUGUUAAUGUGAACAAAGUGUGUUCGAUUGUUGUUGCGGGUUCAAGACUUGAAUGUGUGAUGCAUUGUUGGUUCAAGUUUUGAACGUGUAUUGUGGAGAUUGUGUUGUGGAAUUUAAGUGUCCUAAGACAAUUUUUUUAAAGAUAUGGUAGUCUUGGCCGUGUGAGACAAUAUUGUUGUGGGUUUAGAGUGGGCUGUGAAAAGGGAAUUGUUAGUGUUCUUGAAAAUUGUUGUUGUUGUUCUUGGUGAAUGUUGUUGUUAUUUUUAUGUUCAUAACUAACUUCAUACCUUUCUAGAAAAAUAAAGUGCUUAUUUGAUCCAAAAAUGUGUAGAAACUUGUUAGUCUUGAAAGACUCCCAACCACUAAAGACCUAUCAAUCACUUCUCAACAACUUUUCCAUGAUUUAAGGACCUUGUCUUGAGGAAAAAAGUCAAGUCUUGCUUUUUGAAUUUGAAAGAGGAUUUCAAGACUUAUUUUCCCUCCUUAACCAAUUCCCACCAAUUCCAAAUUAUAAUUGGAUCAAGACUUGAAUUAGAAAAUAAAAUUUGAUAACAACUGCAACUAAUACGUGGCUGCCACGUCACGUUUUACUGUUCACCGAUAAUUUUUAAGCUCAAAUUUUAGAUGUCUUUGUUUCUAAUUUGUUGAUCCUUCGUUUCAUUUAAUUGAUCCUAGUACUAAUUAAUAAACUAGUAAACUCGUACUAGAUUGUCAAUUAGUCCUUUGAAUCCAUUGUUCGUGUCUACGUUUCUUUUGUGCUUUUAUCAUUUUUAAAAUCAUAGUACUUCUUGGUUCAAGUUCGGACACUACUUUCCUUGAUUCUUCAAACAAAGAAUCCAUUCCUACCAAGGAGUAGACUCACCCCUCGAUUCAUCACGAACUACGAGCCGACUUGCAACACUUGUGAAUCCAAGUGUGAGACAAUUAAGUGUGUGAGAGUGUGGUGAGGUUCUUUUGAACUAACUUGUGUUUUUCUUUGUAGUCUUGUUCUUUUAUUCUUUUUUUUUAGAUACAAUUACAAGGGAACCCGCGGCUUCAACCUCUCAACCCAUGGACAACAAUGCCACCAAUGUCAUUUUGGCCAACCUUGACACUAUGUCCCAAGAUCUAGCUAUGGCAAAUGAAAGGUUGGAUCGUAUGGUAGGUCAAAGGGAGCAAGUGGGCUGCCCGAACAUACAUCAAGAGGAAGGCCGUAGCUCACAUGAGUUACGAGGUAAAAACGUUAUCCCCUACACUCCUAUGAACUUAGAAUGUUAUGUUGUGGCUAGUAGGAGCCAAGUAGGUAUAGUUGUAACUUUGCCUAGGGUAGAGGUGCUCGAGUCUCCUUUUUGUGAUACUCUAGGUAUUGUUAGGCCACAUGAGGACCAAACUCUUGUUGUAGGUACAUAAGAACUAGUUGAUCUUUUAGAUGAUGAAAUUGAUUCUCCUCGUGAGAAUGAUUUGUGUCCAUCUAGUGCUAGCACUUAUAACUCGACUAAGGUUCCAUUACCAAGUGACGAGAGUAUUCACACACUAGUUGACCCUUGUGAAAACCAAGGUGGGUCUACGUUGGUAUAUGAGUUGCCAAAAACUAGUGAGGUUUUCGACAAUGAUCAAUCGGGUGGAAAUGACCUUGACAUGCUUGAUUGUUUAGGAAACCCGAAUUGUGAUUGUCUUGGUAAAAAUGGUUUUACUUGUGAUCCCUUUGCUGCCCAUGAUAGUUUAUGUCUGUGUAGGGACUACUCUCUUGAAAGAGAAAGUGUUGCAUGCUUAGAAAUUCCAUCUACUUCUUCUUUAUGUGUUUCCUAUGUUAAGCCUACUAGUGUUGUUAGACUUGAAACUAGUGAGUACAUGCAUAAGGAGAUCAUAGUUGGAGUUGACUCGUGUGACUCCUUUCUUUAUCCUCUUUGUGCUCAUGAUAUUUUCCACAGGGAUAUAAAGGGUAUGCCUAAUUUUGAAGACGACACUUUUAGGGAAAGUGAGAGUGGCCGAGGCCUAAGUCCUUGGUUACUCCACCCAUUUGAUCCCGGUACCAUCUUAGGGUGGGAAAGGAUUACUCUUGGCCUAUUUUUCUUUUGUCUUGAUGCUUGCCCGAGCCACCUCCUUUGUAGCAUUUGUACUAAUCUUUUCAUGAUUAAAACAAAGGACCCGUGGCUAUACAUUAAGUUUGUUCUGCCGUGGCAUGGCAUGUUGAUGUGUUAUUUUUGGCUAACGCUAACCCCUCAUGUCAUGAGGAUGUGUGCUUGUUUUCCUUCUCUUGAUUUUUUAAGGCAUGGAUUCGAGGUCGAAUCCUUUUCAAGAAGGAGAGGAUGAUACAAGUACGACCACGAGGAUGGACGUUUGAAAAUGUAAUGAACCCGAGGCUUUGAGUGUGCAAGAAAAAUGCAAAAGAGGGCCGAAACACACACACCAAAACCGAACCUACACUACACUCCAUGGGCGAUAUUUUGAGGCUUUUCAUUAUAGGGCCUUUUGGUCAUUUUGUAUUCUAGUUGUAACCUAGUAUAAAUAGAAAAUUGUAGGUCAUUUUUGUCUUAGACUUUGAUGAUAUUGUAAGUUGUAUAACACUUUGAAAGACAAGUCCUCUCUUCUCUUUAGGAGGCAACCCGAAACUAGGGUGAUACUAGUGUGGAAUCACUAGUGUUGCAUUCAUGGCUUGAGACGUUGGUGUGUAGAAGAGGUAAAGUUCCUUUUGUGUCAACGUAGGAGUUAGGUUAACCAUUGUGUGUAGCAUUAAGGGUUCAAGAGUAUCACAUGUUCUUGGGUUCUUAAGAUUAUACCAACCAAGGUCUAACUAUCUAUCCCUUUUGUUUAUUGUAAUCUUGUAACCAUUUGUGUAUCUUGUAAUCUUCAACCCGUGAGUUGUUGUCUCUUGUUGUUAUUGUUCUUAUCAUAUUGUUCUCAUCUUAUUGUUGUUUUUGUUGUUUUGGUGUUGAAA
rnacentral:lncRNA from 1 species